CCGGCGGGAAGGGACCUAGGGCUUGCUCCGCUUCGCCUCUGCUGGAAGGAAGGACUUUAUCACAAAGCAGGCGCCUAGGGCUAAGGAAAGCCAGGGUGUCUUGCUUCUUUGAGCCGGACAGCAGGGAGGAGGCCCCUUCUUUUGCAUAUUUGCUUCCUGGGACGCGGCUCCAGAGAGGACCCUUCAAACACUUUGGGUUGGUUCAAAAAGAAUUGGCACCCCAGAGACCUCUGCCAACUGCCAGACUCCGAGAGAGUGAACCACCUGCCUUUCAACCCUCCCGCCACGUGUGUCUGAGGAGACUCGGGUUUGGUUGCUUUGGAUACCAAGAACACGAGCUUGUCGGAUAUGAAGACAGAAGAAAUGGUGACCCACCCCAUGGAGGUACACAGCCAGCGAUCACUUCUUAUAGAUUACAGACGAAGCCUGAGAACACACCUGCUGUCUUUGGGGACAUGGGCUUCCUGCGGUGCUCCAGUUGGAGGAAAUACAGUCCACGACCCCAGGCUGCCUGGCAGGCUCUCUGAACUGCCCCAAUAUCCUCUGACCUAGUCAAUCCAUUCCAGCAU
ensembl:antisense 2210019I11Rik RIKEN cDNA 2210019I11 gene